rnacentral:rRNA from 1 species
GUAGGUGGCAAGCGUUGUCCGGAAUUAUUGGGCGUAAAGUGCGCGCAGGUGGGUUCUUUAAGUCUGAUGUGAAAGCCCCCGGGCUCAACCGGGGAGGGUCAUUGGAAACUGGGGAACUUGAGUGCAGGAGAGGAAAGUGGAAUUCCACGUGUAGCGGUGAAAUGCGUAGAUAUGUGGAGGAACACCAGUGGCGAAGGCGACUUUCUGGCCUGUAACUGACACUGAGGCGCGAAAGCGUGGGGAGCAAACAGGAUUAGAUACCCUGGUAGUCCACGCCGUAAACGAUGAGUGCUAAGUGUUGGGGGGGUUUCCGCCCCUCAGUGCUGCAGCUAACGCAUUAAGCACUCCGCCUGGGGAGUACGGUCGCAAGACUG